AGCGCAGGUGGGAAUGUAAGUCUUUCUUAAAAGUGCGGGGCUCAACCCCGUGAUGGGAAAGAAACUAUAUUUCUUGAGUGCAGGAGAGGAAAGCGGAAUUCCUAGUGUAGCGGUGAAAUGCGUAGAUAUUAGGAGGAACACCAGUGGCGAAGGCGGCUUUCUGGACUGUAACUGACACUGAGGCUCGAAAGCCAGGGGAGCAACG
rnacentral:rRNA from 1 species